UACGUAGGCAGCGAGCGUUGUUCGGAGUUACUGGGCGUAAAGGGUGUGUAGGCGGUUGUUUAAGUUUGGUGUGAAAUCUCCCGGCUCAACUGGGAGGGUGCGCCGAAUACUGAGCGACUAGAGUGCGGGAGAGGAAAAGUGGAAUUCCUGGUGUAGCGGUGAAAUGCGUAGAUAUCAGGAGGAACACCGGUGGUGUAGACGGCUUUCUGGACCGUAACUGACGCUGAGACACGAAAGCGUGGGGAGCAAACAGG
rnacentral:rRNA from 1 species